rnacentral:pre_miRNA from 1 species
AAUAGCUUCAAUUCCGUAGUGCAUUGCAGUGUGUUUUUGACGAACUGCAAGCAAUGUGGAAGUGAAGCGAUUCU